rnacentral:rRNA from 1 species
CAUGCAAGUCGAACGAGCGAGAGAGAGCUUGCUUUCUCAAGCGAGUGGCGAACGGGUGAGUAACGCGUGAGGAACCUGCCUCAAAGAGGGGGACAACAGUUGGAAACGACUGCUAAUACCGCAUAAGCCCACGACCCGGCAUCGGGUAGAGGGAAAAGGAGCAAUCCGCUUUGAGAUGGCCUCGCGUCCGAUUAGCUAGUUGGUGAGGUAAUGGCCCACCAAGGCGACGAUCGGUAGCCGGACCGAGAGGUUGAACGGCCACAUUGGGACUGAGACACGGCCCAGACUCCUACGGGAGGCAGCAGUGGGGAAUAUUGCACAAUGGGGGAAACCCUGAUGCAGCGACGCCGCGUGGAGGAAGAAGGUCUUCGGAUUGUAAACUCCUGUUGUUGAGGAAGAUAAUGACGGUACUCAACAAGGAAGUGACGGCUAACUACGUGCCAGCAGCCGCGGUAAAACGUAGGUCACAAGCGUUGUCCGGAAUUACUGGGUGUAAGGGGAGCGCAGGCGGGAAGACAAGUUGGAAGUGAAAUCCAUGGGCUCAACCCAUGAACUGCUUUCAAAACUGUUUUUCUUGAGUAGUGCAGAGGUAGGCGGAAUUCCCGGUGUAGCGGUGGAAUGCGUAGAUAUCGGGAGGAACACCAGUGGCGAAGGCGGCCUACUGGGCACCAACUGACGCUGAGGCUCGAAAGUGUGGGUAGCAAACAGGAUUAGAUACCCUGGUAGU